GCCCUCAUAGCUCAGCAGGUAGAGCACGUUCUUGGUAAGAACGGGGUCAGCAGUUCGAAUCUGCUUGAGGGCUCCA
rnacentral:tRNA from 1 species